rnacentral:rRNA from 1 species
UACGUAGGGUGCAAGCGUUAAUCGGAAUUACUGGGCGUAAAGCGUGCGCAGGCGGUUUUGUAAGACAGGCGUGAAAUCCCCGGGCUCAACCUGGGAAUUGUGCUUGUGACUGCAAAGCUGGAGUGCGGCAGAGGGGGAUGGAAUUCCGCGUGUAGCAGUGAAAUGCGUAGAUAUGCGGAGGAACACCGAUGGCGAAGGCAAUCCCCUGGGCCUGCACUGACGCUCAUGCACGAAAGCGUGGGGAGCAAACAGG